rnacentral:rRNA from 1 species
AUUGAGCGCUGGCGGCAGGCCUAACACAUGCAAGUCGAGCGGAUGAAGGGAGCUUGCUCCUGGAUUCAGCGGCGGACGGGUGAGUAAUGCCUAGGAAUCUGCCUGGUAGUGGGGGAUAACGUCCGGAAACGGGCGCUAAUACCGCAUACGUCCUGAGGGAGAAAGUGGGGGAUCUUCGGACCUCACGCUAUCAGAGGAGCCUAGGUCGGAUUAGCUAGUUGGUGGGGUAAGGGCCUACCAAGGCGACGAUCCGUAACUGGUCUGAGAGGAUGAUCAGUCACACUGGAACUGAGACACGGUCCAGACUCCUACGGGAGGCAGCAGUGGGGAAUAUUGGACAAUGGGCGAAAGCCUGAUCCACCCAUGCCGCGUGUGUGAAGAAGGUCUUCGGAUUGUAAAGCACUUUAAGUUGGGAGGAAGGGCAGUAAGUUAAUACCUUGCUGUUUUGACGUUACCAACAGAAUAAGCACCGGCUAACUUCGUG